rnacentral:rRNA from 1 species
CCUACGGGGUGCUGCAGUGAGGAAUAUUGGUCAAUGGACGAGAGUCUGAACCAGCCAAGUAGCGUGAAGGAUGACUGCCCUAUGGGUUGUAAACUUCUUUUAUCUGGGAAUAAAAUGUUCCACGUGUGGGAUUUUGUAUGUACCAUAUGAAUAAGGAUCGGCUAACUCCGUGCCAGCAGCCGCGGUAAUACGGAGGAUCCGAGCGUUAUCCGGAUUUAUUGGGUUUAAAGGGAGCGUAGGUGGAUUGUUAAGUCAGUUGUGAAAGUUUGCGGCUCAACCGUAAAAUUGCAGUUGAAACUGGCAGUCUUGAGUACAGUAGAGGUGGGCGGAAUGCGUGGUGUAGCGGUGAAAUGCUUAGAUAUCACGAAGAACUCCGAUUGCGAAGGCAGUUCACUGGACUGCAACUGACACUGAGGCUCGAAAGUGUGGGUAUCAAACAGGAUUAGAUACCCUUGUAGUC